CAAGUACGACAUAGAUGGUGGUCCUAGAGGAGGGGCUGUGGCCGUCUGAGUCCUUCCUUGAACCAAGGCACCAACCUUUCAAUGCUGGGCCACAUCAGUACAUGCCUUCUAAGGAGUAAGACAUAGGGAACGAAGGCCCCUGGGAAAAUCUUCAUAUGUAUGUUCUUGAGGAAUUUAGAAGUUUGUUAAAAAGAGGCCUGUGCAUGUGAGACCAUGACAUGAAGUAUAGUUAUGAUACCCCUGUUCCCACUGAUUUUCCUUUCUGCAGAACCAAAUUUCCUCCUUUUGGGAUCCAGCUUUAAUCAUAUUCGAAGUCACUGAAGACUUAGAUGUUGAGCAUGGUUAAAUUAGAUGAGGUUCUGUCAGUCUAUUAUACAGAUUUCAAUUCUUAUUUAUUGAUAUGUGUAUACUUGUUUGUUCACUUAUUUUGUUAGUUAUUAUGUAAAGGAUGGGCAAAGAGAAAUCAUGGUUCAGAACUCUUGAUAAUGAUAAAAUAUUGCAUUUUUUCCUCUUAUUUACCUUUGGAUUUCCAUUCUUAACUCUGUGCACUGAAGAGGAGAGAGAAGAUCGCCAGUAGUUGGAGACCAUCUGCAGAACUGGAGCAGUGCACGGGAAGCACGUUAUAAAUUUUACAUUCUUAUGUAGGAACGUAGACAGAAUCUUGAUGCUCCUACAAAGGUAAGCCCUCUUUAACCGAAUCAGUGGUUAUGGAAAACUAGGGUUUUUGGUAUUCCUGUAUCUUAAACAGGAACAGGUUCACCUCCACUUCAAUCCUUGGUAAAAAUUUGGAUUGUGACCAACAGGAAGAAAUUUUUUCUAUUUGUCUCCUAACAUUAUUACCCAUGUACAACCUGUGUCCACUGCUUAUGGUGUCUUCUCUCCUCCUUCGCAUGAUCUAAGGGUUUCCCUGACAGAAAGUCUCGCUGCUCCGGAUGUGUGUGAGCAGUGACUGCGACACCAUUGAAGAUUGUUCUCACGUGUAAUUGUGUGUUUAUUUUUGAGAAGAUGUGAGAGCAUAUGUGUGAGUGUGUUUAUGCGUAAGUGUUCUGGAAUAUGGAGGGAUUCUUGUCUGAUGCUGGGGUGGCCCUGUAAGGUUUUCAGGAGGAAGAUGUGUGGGAAAAGCUGACACAAAUGAUAUACCCAUUCCAAACAUGGCUAUGGUACAGCUUCUAAAUAGAAGUAAUAUGUUCCAUGGAACAUGAAAAUAUUACUGCUGAGUAUUGCUUUUGGACUUCAUCAUGGAUCAAGUGCCUUAGAAAUGGCCUCAAUUUGAAAGUAGACUCUGAAGGAAAUAACCCCUUAUUCAAAGGUACCUGUUUCAAAUAUUCAAAGGAAUAUUUUAGAGACUUAGAAAAUAAUAAACUCUGUGACUCAACAUUUGAAUAACAAAAGCAUUUAAAGGCAGCAGAGGGAAUAUCUGAGAGGAAGAAUGAGUGAGCACAGAGAGACGGCAUAAGGAAUGGGCAUCUCAUGAGUGAGAGAACAAAUGCGAAUGUGCAUUCAGGAGAAUUCUAUUUCCUUACACAUUGACUGUAUCAUAAAGAUAUGAAAUCACAAAUUAGUACAACAGACAUAGCCUGGUUCUUGUUGACACCAUUUCAGAAAGGUCACAUAUGAAUGUUAGCUUCAGCUGUGCAGUUGGAAGGUCAGAGGAGGUGCCCCUUGUCUAACAAAGAGAAAGGGACCAAUCAGCCCAGGGACUUGGGAACCUGGGACUAUAUCAUUUUAGUCUUUUUUCCCAGGUCUCUGGCAGAACCAAAACACUCAAGUUUACUAUACACUCAGGUUUAGUACCGAACUGCCCACUUCAAAGAACUCUCUGAAUUCUUACUCUCCGGCCUAAAGACAAACACGAGGGGAUGCAGCUGUUUUUACUUUGUUCUCCAAGUGGGAGCAUCCUCUCUGUCCCAUUACACUUCCUUAUAUUGUGAUGACUGGCUGCAGGGCAAGGCUGAGGUAGAAAUAAAUACCAGACAAAAGACCAUCAGAGCUGAAAGAGGCCGUGGGGAUUUUGUCCAUAACACACUUCUUAUCACAGACUACACACUUGGGUCCCAGAUGGCUCAGAUAUAUUUAUUGAAGAUGUGGAAGUUCUAACAGUUCUGUGAAAUGGGAAACUGACUGACUUUUUAGUCUGUUGAAGGGAAAAAACACCUGGGAAAGUCCAGCUUGAAUGUCCCUUCUCUGAGUCUUUUUUCUCUGUCCGCGGUUACUAACUUAGCCAGAAGUAUGUUUCCAAGUCCUCUUUCCCCUCUCUUUUCAGGAUUUGUCUAACAUGGCUCCCAUUGUCUUAGACUAUGACUUGUUUCUGGUUUCCUAUCACUUUUACAUGCACUCUUUCAUCUUCUGUCAGGUUCUGUUGGUCAUCGGACAGUCAGAGUGCUGGGCGCCUCUGUCACAGAGUGGAAAAGUGGGAGAAUAUACUGUCAACAAUCAGACCUCUGAUCAAAGGCAGAGAUAAUCUAGAGCUGAGAGGAGGAAAAAAGGACAUCACUAGGAUUUAAGCUCAUCUCUCUCAUAAUUGAACAGUGUAAACGGAAAGGAAAUUGAAGAUAUUUUAAAUUAUGCUUUUGCCAGCACUGAUUAUCCUUGACCACGAGGAAUCCAGAUGCCAGACUGAAACAUCAGUUUCUUGUCUUAAAGGAGUUGCAGCUGCCUGUUAAACUGAUCGUGGCUGUGCACAGAGGAGGCAGUUGGAGAUGGCAAGCAUCAUAUGCUCCAGUGUAUCAUCUGGACUGGAGAGGUGUCAGUGAAGGAAGACACACAUUUUACAUCCUCAUGUUGUACAAAAGAAGGAAAGGGAGGAAAUAGAGCAAACAACUGCCUCCAAGAUUGGAGAGACAAACAAGCUUAUGAACUCAGAGACUCAGGAGCAGAAACCACUGUGGGAACUAGUGCCAAGGUAGGCAAACCUGAACUCUAAUGGAUGAGUUGCUGCAGGCUCAGUGUGGACAGCUCCAAAAGUUAAAAACUCCAGUGGGACCCAGUCAUGGAGGGGCCCUACAAUUUUGUAAGAUUUACCUUCUGGGGAUUGACAAGAUUCCCACAGUAAAUAUCAGAGAAAUAACCCCUUGGCCUUUUGGCAUCGGGAGGGAAAAAGGAAUCAUUUUGAAAUAAGCCAGAGCACUCUGCUCUUUUGAACAAGGCCUGCCUACGGGAGAAACUAGUUAACCACAGCCUAACCUGCUGGGGUAUUAUCAAGAGCCAAAUGGGCAUGGGAAAGGGAAACACCCAACUCCAGCUGGCUCUGGCCUUUUAUCUGGGAGAAGGGAAAUACACAGCUCGAGCCCACUCCAGCAAUCCUGUCCUACCUAAGAAGGGAGGAAAAAGUGAGAGACACUUGUGAAGUUCACAGUCCACAGGCAUAGACUUAGAAAAGCAUGAGGCCUAAUCACAGGACGAUGAACACUUCCUCCCCCUUCCCCCCCCCCCCCCCCGCCACAGUACUGAAGGCCUAUUUACAGCAGUUCCUUUCACCCAGUACAUCAUGUCCAGCUGUCUGUGUGUAAACACAAGUUUCAUUUUACUUGUGUAAAUAGCUAGGAGUGGAAUUCGUGGGACUUAUGGCAAGUGAAGAUUAAACAUAAAAUAAAUUUUAAGACAUUUUAAGAAAAAAGCCCUUUAACAGAACUACUUUAACAUUUUGUGCUGCCGUAAAAAAUGUAUCAAAUUUCCAGUUACCCAUAUCCUCAGCAGCACUCAACAUUGGCAGGUUUUUUUGUUUUGUUUUGUUUUGCUUCUGUGUUAG
rnacentral:lncRNA from 1 species